rnacentral:lncRNA from 1 species
CACGACGGUUGGAGGACUGAGAAGCUUUGAGAAUCCUAAAAAUAAGAUCACUGCUGUGCCUGCUACUGAUGAAGAGAUAUGGGGUGCAACAUUUAAGGUAAAUAAAAAAAGUGCCUAUUUUUCGUUUUAGUAAGAGAAUAGACUAAAUUUUCAGGAACACCUGUUGAUAUGCUAAAGUAGCAUCCGGGUUCCAGCCUGAUUAUUCCUUCUGUAAGGUCUUUCUAGUUGGAUAGGGCUUAAUUUUCUAUUUUGAUUGACGGGAUGUGUAUUAUUACGUCGCUAAUGAUAAAUAGGCUGAGUGAAGAGUUAUAUCAUAUGAUGCAAGAAGUAUGUAUUCAUAAUUUCAUAUUCAAACAAGAUUGCAGUAGCAUCUCAACACGAAGAGCCUUAGUUGGAUAAAGUUUCAAAUCUUUGCAGCGAGUUAGCUGAUGAUGUAAAACUGUUCCUGAUUAAGGCUCUUUGGAAUUGGAAUGCUAAAGCAUCCUCCUUUACGACACUAUAUUCUGAGCAAAAAGAAAAAAGUGUAUGUUUUGAAUAUGACGGUUGUCCAUUGAUUUGAGGAUCAUUUAGAAGAUCCGAUGAGGCCAGUGACUAGGGCCAGGCAUUCGUGAUUGCAAACCCCUCGUCCAUCCCUAUAGUUGUACAAUUUAUUUACAGGGACUAGGACCAGGACUAGGCGAUGAAAAUUCGCCAACUUUAUUAAUGUUGAGUUGGACCGCAUUUGUCGUCAAAUUAACGGGGCCAAAUUUCAGGUGGAAGGGCCAUCAGUUUUUGCAGCCACUAAGUAGAAGUUUUUCCUGAUAGAGAGCUGUAUCGUUGAGCCUUCAAAAUCUGAAUCUGUAUCGGUUUCGAUGGGGAAGGUUUGUACAUGGCGUUGGGUGCAAGGCACACAUCAGAAGCGAUGUAAAUAGCUGAACAAGUGAGUGAGUGUUGAUAAGAGAGUGUUUCUCGUGUGGUUUCUGCUCGUUGUAUUCUAAGCUUCUACUACCAAUGUACAGCUAUGCUUUUGAUUAAUUAAUAAUAAUGUUGUAUUAAGGUUUGGAGUUUUUUAAUCGGGAUCAAUCCGCAUUUCUUCUCCGUUGAAUGAUUGAAUGAUUGAAUGAAUGAAUGAAUGAAUGAAUUCUAAUCAGGAGUUACUAUAGGAAGAAAGAAAAAGAAAAGCGGCUGAUUAAUUUGGCGCUUAAUUCGUGUUGAUUAAGGCUACUUUGGUAUUGCUAUGUUUUUAAAAAAAACUAUUUCUAUUAUGCUGUAAGAAUAAACAGCUGUAAAAUGAAAUAGUGAUGUUAUUUUCACCCUAAUGUCUUAUCUUCCCACACCUUUUAAUGAAUUUUUUAAUUACAAAUUUGUUCAUUUACAAACAGACUGAUAAGAACAUUAAUUAUCUUGCUUUUCUUAAU